AUACGGAGGGUGCAAGCGUUAUUCGGAAUCACUGGGCGUAAAGGACGCGUAGGCGGGUUGGCAAGUCAGAUGUGAAAUCCUACAGCUUAACUGUAGAACUGCAUUUGAAACUGCUAACCUAGAGUAUGGGAGGGGGAUAUGGAAUUAGUGGUGUAGGGGUAAAAUCCGUAGAUAUCACUAGGAAUACCGAAAGCGAAGGCGAUCUCCUGGAACAUAACUGACGCUAAGGCGUGAAAGCGUGGGGAGCAAACAGGAUUAGAAACCCUAGUAGUCC
rnacentral:rRNA from 1 species